ensembl:lncRNA
UGGGUGGAACAGGAAGAUUUUAUUUAGGUGGCCACCGGCCCAGCAGAUAAACAUCCAAAGGCUGAGCCCUGAACAGAGACAGGGCUUGACUUUUAUACAUGCAUCCAGCAGGGGCGAGUCAGGUUUUUGGCGCAAAACCUGUAGGCAGGAAAGCAGUCUUACAGAAGCAGAACAAAGGCAGUUAAUCAUACUGUGACAGGUUUUACAACAGGCUUUGCAACAUGAGCAUACCUUACUUAAACAUGUCUUGUGACCUUGCCAUGCUACAGAAAAACAGGAACUUACAAAAUCUUUAGAAUUGCAGAAAUAGUUACAAAAAUAGUUGUGAGAACAGAACAAAGAAUAAUGGUAUGGGGAGAGAAUUUCAAAUGGGGAAACUGAUAAGGAGAACUUGUUUUUCUCAUCUCUGCUCCUGAAGCCCAUUCUUUCGGGGCCCCUGUCUGGCCUUGCAGAUCAUUAUCAUAGCUCCAACAGGACUUUGGAGUGAGUCAGACUGGUCAGGGAAGGACUUGUUUUCCCUUUACUUGUUUUUCCUUUUAUAUUUCCUGCUUCAUUCCCUCCUUUGAUACUUUUUAUAAGUAAGGUUUAAUAGAAAGCAUCACUAUCUUCAUUUAGUUCUUCAAGAGGAAGUACCUAUUUUCUUGGCAGGGGUUGAUACUUAGGGCCAUUAGUCAUGUGGUAGUCUGUCUGUCCACAAGAGCCUCUAUGGCUGUUUGGAUAUUUUUGACAAUGAGGGGUAAGAGACAAGGGAGUGCAAGGCAGACUCCCAAUAUGGCAAGAACUACUCAUACUAAGGUUUUAAAUCCUCCAAGGGAUGAGAACCAACCUCUGAAGAGGGAAUCUGGAGACUAUCCUUUCCAAGACUGAACUGGGAUGUGGGCUAACUUUUGGAUUUUUGCAGUUAUUUCUUCGAUGACCUUUCCAUUGUCAUCAAUUUCCAGGCAGCAGUUAGUUAGGUUGAACUUUCCGCAUACUCCCUCUUCCUGGGCUAGGAGGUAGUCUAAAGCCAGUCUAUUUUGAUAAAUGGCAUUUCUCAUUUUUGUGGCUUGCUGGGCAAGCAGAUUCAAGGCCCCUGCAGUUUCAUUGGUAAUGAUUUCUAGUACUGCCUGCAAUCUUAUAAUGCGGUUGAGCAUGUAAAUUGGGGUGCGGUAUCCCCACAUUCCAUCUUCUGCCCAGGUGGCUGGGCCAUAAUAUUGAAUUAUUCUUUCAGGAGGCCAUUCAUUUUCCUUCCAAUCUCCCAGAGUUAUGCCUCUUCUGCUUUUCCUUUUAGUUUCAUCAUAGAUGGGGUAUCCUAAGACUUCUCCCUGUUUUAGGGGGAUUAGGAAGAAGGACGGCCUAAUUGUCCCCAGUACACAGGCCCCUGACCACUUAGCUGGCAGCUGUCGAUAUGCCCGUGGCCCACAGAUCCAGUAGAGGCCAGAGGGUGCCUGCCAGGUAUUUGGAGCUUCAAGUUGGUACCAAGAAUGGUUUAAAGAUGGGAAACGAGAGAAUGGGCUUGGGUGCGGUGAUUCAGAAUUAUUGCUUUUGCCCCUCCAUAAAGUCUUUCCUAGUGUCUCAUUGUAAUAUUGUUGUCCUAGGCAAGUUAACUCUCCUACUGGGUCUGUAAAGGCCUUUCCCCAGCGAGCAAUACAGAAUUUUCCAAUAAUGGAGGUUUUUAAGAACCAGAUGCUCUGACUUGUCAGUGCAGGUUCAAGGGAAGAGGCAGUUAGACUGAAAUUAUCUUGGGGCAUUAGCUCCCUUGCUUCCCACGGCCAUUGGUCUCCCACGUUCGUUCCCCCACAGACAUAACAUGAAGCGACGUGCAGGCUGCUGGCUAUGUUUUCAGCCAGUUGGGCGAAUAAAUUUCUGGCCAAGGGAGGGGACUCAGGCAAUUUCUGGUUAACAUGCUCAUAGAAUGACUCAAAAACUCGGAACUGUUGGGUUGAGCGGGUCCGAGUUUUCUUUAUUACAUAUAGAUAGACAUAGGCUCCUGGGUCAAUUUCUUUACCGCUGACUCGUGCCCCUAGUGGUGCUUUUAAACCUGUUGUCCAUAUGGGCUGAUCUGGCUCUAAGAUGGUAAGAUUUACAGAAUUGCAAGUGCUUGUUUUACAAUCUGGUUCCAAUGAUAUUUUGGUAAGCAUAAUUGGCCCCAGUGAUUGCUGGCUGCUGGACCACGUUGUGCAGUCCCAGCAAGUUGUUACUGGGGAAUCAGUGGAACAAGCAGGGGGUGCACACCUAUUUUUAUGGCAGCUACUAUAGUACUCCAUGGAACUGAAGAUUACGGGAAAGAGUGAGCCCAUGGAUGCUAUCCGGCAAACAUCAAAGUAUAAGGAUACAACACCCUUGCUGGAAGGAAAGACCUUGGUUUGGUUUAGAAGAUCCCCUUCCUUUGACCCGAC